AACUAAAAACCAUAUUUCAUUGAUUCUCCCAACCGAUUCUCUUACGCCGUAACCCCUUCCUUCGAUUCAUCUAUUCUCCGUCAUCAAUCAUAGGUUCACCAACGUUAGCUCUUUCUUCGUGAACCUUCAUCUUCGUUAACCCAGAGCUUCGUCCUUUCACCGGUGAAACCCUAUCACCACGUGAAACCCCUUUCCAAUCAGAACUUCACCAAACCUCCUCUCCCGAACAAACACACAUUCAGAAGAAGAAGAAGUUGAGGUGAAGAGCUAGCAGAAAGAUAAGAAGAUUGUACCAACACGUUUGUGCCUUUUGCCGAUGUUGAACUGGGUCAGAAUCACUUCGAUUGCGCUGCAUCCUUUUAACUGUCCUGGUUCAUUUUCAUACUCGGUUCCAAUGACAAUCAGCUGGAAUGCGCCCAAGCAAGUGCAGCAUGCGCCGCCGUUAUCCGCCGCAAGACUCAAACUGUUUCCUAAUCCUUCGACGCUGAUUCUGAUCCCUAUCUCAACAAACAGAAGAUCUUCGAUUUGUUCCAGAACUGCAUAAAGCUCGCCAAUGAAAAUAAAAUUAAUCAGAAAAACACUUGGGAGUUUAACUUGAUUGAUCACCUUACUAAUACUGUUAAACCGGAAGAAGAAAAUGAUACGGAGACUAACUUUCAGAAGGCAAGCUGCACUCUUGAGGCUGAUGUUAAAAUUUAUUCAUUAAGGGUGGAUUUAGUGCAUUAUGAGGCAUACAAAGUCCUUAGUGGGAUGAAUAGAGCGGAACAAGACGUUGAGCCAUGUUACAAUUAUUUCCCUCUUACCAAGAUUAACACAUUCUGAUUCUCUUUUUUGUUUUUUGCACUAGUUGUAUUUGUAGUGAGUUUUCUUGAUGAUUUGUGUGUAGAUAAGAGUUAUUGGGAUUGACUUUCUUCUGUCUUGUAUAUGGUGUAUUGUAGUAUAAGAGAUGCUCUAUUUCUAAUAAUGUUUGAUAUCUUGUAAAUGUAUCAAUUAAAAUGGCUUGAUAUUCCUAUUACAUGUUCGAUAUUUUGUGA